rnacentral:rRNA from 1 species
GUGGGGAAUCUUGCGCAAUGGGCGAAAGCCUGACGCAGCAACGCCGCGUGCGGGAUGACGGCCUUCGUGGUUGUAAACCGCUUUCAGCAGGGACGAAAUUGACGGUACCUGCAGAAGAAGCCCCGGCUAACUACGUGCCAGCAGCCGCGGUCAUACGUAGGGGGCAAGCGUUGUCCGGAAUCAUUGGGCGUAAAGAGCUCGUAGGCGGUUCAGUAAGUCGGGUGUGAAAGCUCCGAGCUCAACUCGGAGAGGGCACUCGAUACUGCUGUGACUAGAAUCCAGUAGGGGAGUGUGGAAUUCCUGGUGUAGCGGUGAAAUGCGCAGAUAUCAGGAGGAACACCAGCGGCGAAGGCGGCACUCUGGGCUGGUAUUGACGCUGAGGAGCGAAAGUGUGGGUAGCAAACAGGAUUAGAUACCCUGGUAGUCC